rnacentral:rRNA from 1 species
CAGUAGCCGCGGGAAUACGUAGGUGGCAAGCGUUGUCCGGAAUUAUUGGGCGUAAAGGGCUCGCAGGCGGUUUCUUAAGUCUGAUGUGAAAGCCCCCGGCUCAACCGGGGAGGGUCAUUGGAAACUGGGAAACUUGAGUGCAGAAGAGGAGAGUGGAAUUCCACGUGUAGCGGUGAAAUGCGUAGAGAUGUGGAGGAACACCAGUGGCGAAGGCGACUCUCUGGUCUGUAACUGACGCUAAGGAGCGAAAGCGUGGGGAGCGAACAGGAUUAGAUACCCCGGUAGUCCCUGUCUCUUAUAC